GCACCUUCCUUGGCCAGAACCACGGAGCAAAUACUUUCCAGCUACGCCACCCCCCCCUUAAAGCUUUUGAAUGCUUGAGACUCUGAGAUGCUUCUCCCAGUGGCGUCCAGGGCAAGGGAACAGGCUUCGGUUUUCUGGAGAUCCAUACAAGCACAGGAGGGCUGGAUUGCACAUCCCCGCAGUGACAGGCUGCCAAGGUGACGGGAAGCUCAGCUUUUGGAGAUGCCUGCAGCUCACGCUUCCUCCGUGCCGAGGUGCUGCCAUGAUCGAUUAGCUGGGAAGGGAGAAGAACGGGUCAUCUUUCUCUUUCUGAGAUUCUAUACGCUCAAAGGCUAAAUAUACCCGUGUCCCAUCACAUUGGUGCCUUCUACAGGCCCUGACGCUCAUGCGGGUGGGGAAGAAGAAG